AAAGUCGUAACAAGGUCUCCGUUGGUGAACCAGCGGAGGGAUCAUUAAAAGAGUCUUAAAAAAACUCCCAAAACCCCUGUGUAUCUUACCCGUGUCGUUGCUUCGGCGGGCCUAACCGCCCGCCGGAGGUACCCAAACUCAAUGUCUUUUUAUAGUGUAUCUCUGAGCUACAAAACAAACAAAAGUCAAAACUUUCAACAACGGAUCUCUUGGUUCUG
rnacentral:misc_RNA from 1 species